ensembl:lncRNA
GGCCAACCAAAUUAGAUAAGAGAAAAUGAAAACUAAAAAGAGCAGCAGAGAUUAUAUUGUUUACUAGUAUUAAAGCAAAGUUGAACUCAAAAUGUGCUUAAAAAAAUUAAUAAAUUCAUCACCUUUUUUCCCCCCAUUUAGACUUUUAAUCCACAAUAUUUCAGUAAGCAUUAUGUAUGAGCUCAGUUUAUUGAGCCACAAAAUAAGCUCCACAGCUUUGGGCCUGUCAUGUCCAAUAUGCAAAUUCUUUGAGAAUGAUAUGGCACCUGGGGACCUGCAUGCUAAAACUGCUUCACUGAUGUGAAUAAUGUUAUGGUAUAUUUUCACAGGUUUGCCUACUGUCACAACAUACUGAGAAUCUAACAAUGCAAAACGAGACUCGGAUACAAAAACCCAGUUAGAACCUUCACUAGCUAGUUAGCUAGUGAGAAAGCCCAAUUUGUUUGUUUGUUUGUUUAUUUAUUUAUUUAUUUUUGUCCAUUGUUAAAAGCGCUAUACAAAUAAAAUUGAAUUGAGCUUGUCUAGGAUCCCUCUAGGUGAAAGACUGCGCAGUGUGUGAGCCUUGUCUGCGAUCGCUACAUCCGAAAAACAACAAAUCACAAGCGAUAAAAGUCAUUUACAAUGAGCAAUACGGCAAUUCUGAGGUUUUGAAAGUCGUGGAGUAUAUAAAUGUGUUUUCUGUGCUUCUUGCCUUUGCUUUCCAAAGUUCAUGAUUCCACAUCUCUUACUUUCCACAAACACACUGGAGACAGGAAAAUGCGCAACAAACAGAUGGUAAUUUCUAAGCAAUAGAGUUUGGUUUCAGGGACAAUAUGGUGCCAUAAGACAGUUCUCCAAAUAGAGAGCAAUUUCCAAUAAAGUGCAUUUUACACAAAAACAUGGCCUUGCUAUUUAUGAUCGUGCCAAGAACCGGAGGGCUUGUGUUUAACAGCCAUAUGCACGCACUGCCUUGGGUACAGUGCCAAUGUGUAGGUCUGAGGAAGGCAUUCCCGGCAGUCUCUAAUGGGCUAAACCAUUAGAUUUGGCAAAUGGGCGAACCCAUGGGUUUGGCAGAUUGAAAACCUGGCAACAUGUGAGGACACUGAAUUUCACUAUGGCAGAAAACAAAUGCAUCUCAAUAAACCUGGUGAUAAAUGCAUCCAAAUUGAUUUAGAUCUUGAGUAUGGUGCAUAAGGAUGCUCAAUGUUACACAUUACUAGAUCAAGUGUUCUUGACUGCGAUCACCAUAAAUUCGCUAGAAAUAAAGAACAGAAAUAAAACUAACCUAAAACACAAAACCAUUCAUGUCAAGGGAAUAAUAUGCCAAUAAAUAAAUACAUUUUCCAUCAACAUUAGAAAAACCAUCAGUACCAUGCUAAAGAGGUAUGGUAAAGAGGCACUACCAUGGAAACACUUCAACCUAUGAAUAAUUCAAACCUGUUGCCUACAACCGUUGCUUACUUUAUUUAAUUUUUCCCUUCAACCUGACACUGGACCGGCAAUUACUUUGGACCGACACACUGUAUUCAUUGACACUCUAUUCGUUGGUGAAAAAUGUAAUCAUCCCUGCCACUGAGAGAGAACCGUAUUCUCCUUUGACAUUGUAAAAAAAAUAAAAUAAAAUAUGAUCAAAGCAUGACUUCACAUCAAAGUCUAGCUAGACGUUCAAACUGUCAUUAUACGAACCGGCAUCAGAGCAAGCAUGUGCAAGAGCGAUGUGAGGAACCGACACAAAAUACCAAAGAAAAUCUUGAAAAACUUAAUGAAGGCAAACGCGUCAAUUAAAACAAGAAAUGAGAUGGCACGGUCAAUGACAAGAAAGCAUCACCUAGCUUUCUAGGUCAGUAUGUACCUAAAAUCAAUUUAGAAAAACUUCCAUAGCCUUAUAAUGUAUACUUUAUAGUAUACAUAAUAAAGUAAGUAAGUAAGCAAGUAAGUAAGUAGGAAAUUAAGUGGGUAAGUAAGUAGGAAAUUAAGUCGGUAAGAAAGUAGGAAAUUAAGUAGGUAAGUAAGUAGAAAUUAAGUCGGUAAGAAAGUAGGAAAUUAAGUAAGUAAGUAAGUAAGAAAUUAAGUAGGUAAGUAGGUAGGAAAGUAGGAAAAUUAAGUCAGUAAGAAAGUAGGAAAUUAAGUAAAUAAGAAAGUAGGAAAUUAAGUAAAUAAGAAAGAUAGGAAAUUAAGUAGAUAAGUAAUAAGGUAAGAAAAUUAAGUAAGUAGGUAAGAAAGUAAGGUAAGUAAAGAAGGUAACUAAGUUAGGUAAGUAUAUAAGGUAAGUACAUAAGCAAAUAAAUAUGUAAGAAUGUACUUAAGUAUCAAAAACUACUUCCAUAGCCUUAAAGUGUAUGCACUAAUAAUCUAAAACUAUACUUCGCAUGUACUACAGAAAUUUGACAGCACUAACAUUAAUUUCAUUAAUUUUAAGAGAAAAAAGGUUGACAGUUUGUAGCUUAAGUGAUAACAAAAACUAACUUGACAAAUGGAUAAAAAGUACGUCAUUCUUUAAUAAAUAAAUUAAAAAGACCAAAAAAAAUUAAAAAAAAUCAGGUUGUCUGGUUACCAAGAAACCGCAAACCUCAAGAACUUUUCCCAUGUUGGAAAACAUACUGACCGUUACAAAGCCCUGACACUGGAGACUCCUUCCAAAACAUGUCCUUAAAGAAAGCUUCACUAUACCAACAAUUACCUACAUUAAAAUGCCCAUAAGUAAGCUAUUACUACAGGGGGGGAAAAAAAAGGAAAAAAAAAAACACAAAAACGUAUUGCAACAUGUGCAUUAAUACAAACAAACCUGUGUCUUGAUGUUGCAGAUAAUUCAUCAACACCUUCUUACCAAUCAGAAUUAAGCUUUCAACGCCACUGUAUUAUAAAUUCAUAUAACACUAAGUAGUCACCCUUGUUUACUAAGCCUUAUGCUUCACUCACGCUUUCCAGUUUUAGUGCUGAAAAAAGGUUAAAUAUCAUUUUGGCGGCUCUUGUAAGCAUCAGGUGCCAAAUGUGUGAAAGUGUGGGAAGAAUAAGAAAAACAACAGUGGGGGAGUAGGCGCAGAAAAAUGAGUACGCAUAGCCUUAAGCUGUAGAUCAGGCUUGCUCCCUCUAGCUGAAAAAGGGGUUUGGGGGGGGUCUAAAAUAUAGAUAUACUGCUGGCAGCCCAUGUGGAUUCUAUAGGAGAUGAAGGAUAAAACAAGACAAAUGAAGGAAAAGGACAGAUGGCAGUAGCUGUCAGUAACAGCAUUCUGGGCCAAUGGAAUGAAACAGUUUGAUCUCUCUGUGGAAGCUUGGAAAAAUGCCAUAAUAACGAAAAGAAGGAGGGAAAGUUAGACACUAAUGACUCAAAGAGAAAUGUAGGAAAAUGUUUGCUGUGGGCAGACAGAAGGAUGAAAGAGGAAAUGCAAAAGAGGCACACUGACAACCGAAAUACGUUACAUUUGUGACAACUGCUCUGUUUGUGGGCUCAGUGCUAAUGGCAGAAAUCCAAUGAAGUCCUGCUCCUUCAGCAAGGCCCUUAAACGUUAAAUACGCCCAUGCACUGGAAGUUUAACGUAGUGACAGACUGCUAGAGUCUGGGCCAAACUGAAAUUGCUCUAUAGCACACUAUGGUGCACCACCAGACUCCAAACCCGGCCCAUUAUAUUUCUGCAAAGUUUGCAUUGAAAUAAAGCCAAAUUAUCAAUGAGCAUAGAGUCAACUUCCAUAUUACAGUAUACUCAAAUGAUGCCAUAUGAUAAAUAUGGCCAAAAGUAUGUGGACACAACCCCCCCCCCC